rnacentral:lncRNA from 1 species
UGUGAAAUCCUUGUUCCAUUACUUCAUGGGUUAUAUUAUAUAAUAACUGAUAACGGAAUAAAACUUUUCUACAGACAACAAUUGAAUGCAUUGAUAAGAUCAAAUGCAAUGGUUGUUGGAGUUAUUGGAUGCAAAACCAUCUAUUCUAGACAAAUGAUGGUGGGGAAUCCGGGGGACAUUUUGUCAAGCAGUCCUGGUAACAGACGGGAUCAACAUCCCCAGAACGGGUUCGGCAGUAGAAGGUACAGGCUUUGUCGCAAUAGUCUCGGCACUCGUCGUCAUGGCAGUCCUCCAGACCGAUCGGUCCUUUGUGAGUUGUCGUUGAGUCUGCAAUCGCCGCUGUCAAUAGCAUCGCCAGGACAAGGAGGAGUGUAUUCUUUACCCCCAUUUUCUGCAGCUCUCUUCUAUGCAUACAAUAUACUAACUAGUAGUAUUAGUUUUGAUAAAAUAAGUUGGAAGCAGGAAGUGUUAUAUAGUACUUGGAAUAUAUACAAGCAAUUAAUGUCCAAUAAAUAGAUUUUCAUCCAUAUAUAUGCAUCUGCAUAGAUGCAAAAGAUUAUUUUCCAUAUAAAGCUUUGACCACGUGCUCUGAAUGCUUUUUCCAUUUGAUUUUUUUCUUUUUUUUUUGAGAUAACUUGCUCUUUAUCUUCUUUUUUUUCCGAUACGAUAAAUUCUAUUAUACGUCUACUUAUCUUUUGCCAACUGGACAACGUUAAGAUUAUUUUCCAUAUAAAGCUGGUUUUUUGGGAUAAAUCAUGCUUGCUUUUUAUCCUUUUAACAACUACUACGGACUAAUAGAAAGAGGAUCUUAAUCAAUUUGCCAAAGCUCUUUGGAAUAUCCAGAUUCUCAGUCAAGUAGGGGACCACUUGACUGAUCGAUCAUAAGAGCACUUUAGAUAUCUACCUACACCACAGAUGAGUAAUUCUUACACAAUAAUUACAUCAUCAAACCAAGGCCACCAAAACGGGAUGGUAAUACUUACAAGGAAGAUAUUCAUAGCUACUAUAAAAUAAAAUAAAAAAAUGGUAUCUGCUUCAAAACACCAUAUGUGUAGGAAAGAUAUUCGUUCAAUUCUAGAUAAAUUUAUCAUCAUCAGAACAUGUACUAAUUUGGAUUGCUGAGUUUUUUAAAAACUAAUUUUUCAAAUACUAUUAAAAUUUUUAAAAAGUACUCUAAAAGAUACUUUAAAAAGUAGUCUAAUUUUUUUUUAUGUUUAAAAAAUAUCCCAAAAUAUAUUCUAAAAAAUAUUUUACUCUUAAAUAUCCCAAAAUAUUUUCUAAAAAUAUCUCAAAAUAUACUAUAAAAACUCUGCUACAGUUGUAGACACCAAAAUUUCAUUUAUUUUAUUCAAUUUUAGCUUUAUUCUUGUUUUAUUUUAAUUGAUUAAAUGAGAGUUAAUGUUCAUUUUGUUUAUUUUUAUAAAUUAGGUUUAUCAUUUUCAUUUUUAAGGUAUUUUGCAUUAAAUUUCUAAAAAAGGAAAAAUUCUCAGAAAAAAUUCAAAAUUUGUCUUUAAACCUUUUAGAUUCAUUUUUUUAAGAUAAAUAAAAAUCGUGCAAUGCAUUUACAAUUAGGAGUUAACAUUUUUUGUUCUUUACCUAAAUUGAUUUUGAAAAAAUAUAUAAUAAAUAAAUAAAAAUAAGAAGACAAGUGUAUUAGGGGAUCUUUAGACAAGUGUAUUAGGGAGAUAUUAAGCAAGUGAAGUGCAUGCAAAUAGGACAAGUGUCUUCAUUCUUGGUUGACAACACAUGCAAGGGGGGUUAGGUAGCUAGACACUUGGAAGUCUAGGAUAAUUUGGAAAUUUUGGAACAAAAAAAAAGAAAAAAGGGCAAAAGGAGAGCUCGGGUGGUGAUGAAAAUGGAAAAAAAAAAGAAAAAAGAAACUAGAGGAAGCUAUGGGCUGAGGGUUUUAGAGACAAAAAAAAAAAAAAAAAAAACCAAGCGAGCGAGAGAGAACUAGGGGUGACGGCUGAUGAACAAAAAGAGAGGGAGAGAUUGAGAGGGGGGUCGGCUGGAAAACAGAAAGGAAAGGAGAGGGGGGCUGAGGAAAAAGGAAAGCUAUGGGCUGAGGAAGAAAGAAAGGAGUUUGGCGGCUGAGAAGGAAGAGCUUCAGGUAGCGGGCAGAAAACUAGAGAAAAGAGCUACGGGCAAAGCAAGAAAGGAAAAGGGGAGGAUCUGAGAACGAAAAAAGAAAAGGGGAGAAUCUAAGAGAGGAUCAAGGGAGAGAGAGGGGCGGCAGCUGAGCAAGGAGAAGGAAAAAGAGGGUUUUGAGGGUUGGCGAAGCAAGAAGAGAACCUGGAAAAAAGCGGGGGGAAUUCAUAAUUGCCUCUACCAUCUCCGUUCCUGUCAACAUGUUAUCAGUUGCUCCAAAGCCUCCAUAAGAAUGAGCGUAUGCUUGCAUGCUUUAAGCUCCCUUGAGAUUUAGAGUUUUAGUACAAGUCGCUCCCAUUUGCUGAGCAUGCAGUGAAAGAAGGUAUUCGUAACAAUCCUAGUGAAAAAAGAAUUGCUAGUUGCACGCGGUGUAAAAAUGAAAGGCUGUACAAGACGUAGUUCAUAUGUUAAAUUUUCAUAAAUAAAAAGUUAAUUACAGAAAGUAUAUAAAUGCAAAGAAGAGAAAUAAUUAUCAGUGUAUGCAUUUACAUGAUAUGUUAUAUAUGAUUUUGGUGUAUUAAUAAGUGCUCAAUAGGUACUACUAAAAAAACUUAAAAAAAAAAAAAGAGAUACAGUAUUGUUUCCAAAAUUUGAUGAG